CAUCCGCCCCAACAAAAACUCAAAGACACUUGCCGCCGCCGCUAAUCACGUGCUCGACCGCUCCAUCCAUCGCGCCUGACGCUGCUAAUCCCGACGCUCGCCUCUGCCGCGGCAGCGAGCAAGCUUGGUGACGGUGGCUGCCGUGCUCCCGCGCAGCAGUCUCCUCCCCGUCACUGCCGCGGCGGCCGGCGUGCUAUCUGCUGUGGCGCUGUCUUCGUCGUGAUCUUGGAGGACGAAGGGCUCCUGCUGCUCACGGUACGCAAAAAUCUACUAAUCACACCAUUGCCGAGCGAGAUCAUUGUGGGUCAGGGAUCCACACGUUCGGUGGUUGGUGGAGUCUCAGGCAUCCACACGUUCGGCGGCCGGUGCGGCAGUGCAGAUCAGUCCUCCACGGAAAAUGGGAACACCAAGAGAGGGACGCAUUGCGCUCAACGAUGUAACAAACAUACAUACUCUAGCUUGCAACGAAGAACAACUCAAGAGAGAGAGAAAGAAUAGAAAACAACGUGUGUACCGUGCUAGAAAAAGGGCUCAAAAAACGGACGAGGAACAGGAGGAGAUGGAUACGAGGCAGCGUGAGUAUUGUGCUCGCCGAAAGGCUGAAACAAGUGUACUUUCAUAUGCACCGGAUCAACUAGGUGCAUGAUCUUCACUAUUCUUGCGU